AUUGAACGCUGGCGGCAUGCCUUACACAUGCAAGUCGAACGGCAGCACGGGUGCUUGCACCUGGUGGCGAGUGGCGAACGGGUGAGUAAUACAUCGGAACAUGUCCUGUAGUGGGGGAUAGCCCGGCGAAAGCCGGAUUAAUACCGCAUACGAUCUACGGAUGAAAGCGGGGGACCUUCGGGCCUCGCGCUAUAGGGUUGGCCGAUGGCUGAUUAGCUAGUUGGUGGGGUAAAGGCCUACCAAGGCGACGAUCAGUAGCUGGUCUGAGAGGACGACCAGCCACACUGGGACUGAGACACGGCCCAGACUCCUACGGGAGGCAGCAGUGGGGAAUUUUGGACAAAGGGCGAAAGCCUGAUCCAGCAAUGCCGCGUGUGUGAAGAAGGCCUUCGGGUUGUAAAGCACUUUUGCCCGGAAAGAAAUCCUUGGCCCUAAUACGGUCGGGGGAUGACGGUACCGGAAGAAUAAGCACCGGCUAACUACGUG
rnacentral:rRNA from 1 species